rnacentral:rRNA from 1 species
UACGAAGGGGGCUAGCGUUGUUCGGAAUUACUGGGCGUAAAGCGCACGUAGGCGGAUCGAUCAGUCAGGGGGUGAAAUCCCAGGGCUCAACCCUGGAACUGCCUUUGAUACUGUCGAUCUGGAGUAUGGAAGAGGUGAGUGGAAUUCCGAGUGUAGAGGUGAAAUUCGUAGAUAUUCGGAGGAACACCAGUGGCGAAGGCGGCUCACUGGUCCAUUACUGACGCUGAGGAGCGAAAGCUAGGGGAGCAAACGGG